GACUCUCGGCAACGGAUAUCUCGGCUCUCGCAUCGAUGAAGAACGUAGCGAAAUGCGAUACUUGGUGUGAAUUGCAGAAUCCCGUGAACCAUCGAGUCUUUGAACGCAAGUUGCGCCGAAGCCACUAGGCCGAGGGCACGCCUGCCUGGGCGUCA
rnacentral:rRNA from 1 species